rnacentral:lncRNA from 1 species
CGAGAUGGAGAUUUUGGGGAUUUCUUUCUCCGAGGGAGGUCGAGAGAACUCUCAUUCUCUUCGUCUCCUGGUCUGGAGGCGACGCCGACGCGGCAGCGAUUCGACCUCGCCGUCGUCGGGUUCGACGGUGAUUUUUUUUGUGCUCUUUGCUUUUUCUUCUACCGUCGAUUUCGAUCUGUGAGUUCGGGCUUGCCAUCGUUGAUUCGCCAGUGA